rnacentral:rRNA from 1 species
UACGUAGGGGGCGAGCGUUGUCCGGAAUUAUUGGGCGUAAAGAGCGUGUAGGCGGUUCGGUAAGUCUGCCGUGAAAACCUGGGGCUCAACCCUGGGCGUGCGGUGGAUACUGCCGGGCUAGAGGGUGGUAGAGGCGAGUGGAAUUCCUGGUGUAGCGGUGAAAUGCGUAGAUACCAGGAGGAACACCGGUGGCGAAGGCGGCUUCCUGGACCGGCACUGACGCUGAGGAGCGAAAGCGUGGGGGAGCGAUCCGG